GAAGGUGUAGUGUACUGUUCAUUUCAAAGGGAAGCGUAUUCUUCACCCCAAAUCCCGCUCAAAUUCUCUAUUUCUACACGUUAGCAUUUAAAAAAUUUCUCUCCCAAAAGUUUUGAUUUCGCUCACUGAACGGAUCCCCCAUCCCCAUCUUUGAAAUUUUCACCUCUCUCGUGUGAUGGAGAAGUAGGAUGAAGGGGGGGCUGAUGAUGUACCAAACAUUACAGCAGUGGUCGGAGUGCCUCGGUUACCACUCUCAGACUCGAAGAUUAGGACCACUCCUUUGAUUCCACCAACAAUUACAAUCAUUGAUUUUCCCUUCUCUGGUGCGUCCAAAUCCCCCACCAUCAAGAUCAGAAAGAUAUUAAUAAUUAAUAAAAAAAAAUGUUGUAUUUUUCAUAAUUUCUUCAAUUUUGACUUUUAUUCCAUUUCAUUUUAGGCAUCUUUUGAAUUAGUGACUAUAGUUGGCUUAGAUGAAGACUGUUUUAUUUAUUUAUUAUUAUUUCUACAAGAAAUGACAAAGAUCAAAAGCGAAUUAUUAUUUCUUCACAUAGUGCUGAUAUAAAGUAUAUUGUGUUUUUAUUAGGUGACACCUCUAGAUGAAUUUAUUUGCAUUGUCACACUUCGAACUUUGUUUCUGAGUGGAGGUUAGCCAUUUGGGACCUUAAGGCUGUAGUUUAAAUGGUUCCGACACGACUUCAAACAGUGGUGUCUCUGUUUCUGACACAUCGACGAUACGGACACGUGUCAGACAUGUACUAGACACAUGUCAAACACACAUUCGACGUAUUUAACUUUUUUUUAAACCUUCGACAUGGUUCUGAAUAUGGAAAGCCAAUAGACAUGAUAUGACUUUCGUAAUUUUUUUUCAAAAUCAUAUUUUUUAAAAUCUUAAAAGAUAAAAGAUUAGAUUUUAAAUUAUAAUAAUAGAUUAGGUUUUUUUAUUAUUUUCUCUUCACGCUUCCUUUUCACGUCAUUUACGCUUCAUAUUUCUUUUUAAAUCUUAAAGAUAAAAUAUUAUAUUUGAAAUUAUAAUAAUAGAUUAGAUUAAAUCAAAUUAGAAUAAUAACACUUUCUCUUCACGUCAGUUGUGUCACUCCUUCAUUCACGUAGUUCCCUCGUUCAUGUCUAUUCAUUACUGGUUUGAGUUUGUUGUUGCCGUCGUUCGUUCAGCUUAUGACCUUAGUAGCAUUUACGGUUGCUGACUCUGACUUGUUGUUUGUUGCGUUUGUGGUUGCUCUGACUUACUGUUUUGGUUCUGGCGGGAUGGAUUGUAACUUUGUAAGGUUUGCAUCUUUGAAACCUUUUCUAUACUUUCCAAUUUUUAUAAUUUUGUCUUCAUCUUUCGUAGGCUUGUAAAUUUUUAGUUUAAUAUUUUUUUCUUUACUUUUUUACCUACUAAUACAUUUAAUACUUUCUGAUUUUUAAUUUUAUAUCCUAUUUUGAUAAUAGUUUUUAAAUAUAACCGUUAACCAUUCAUAGUUUUUAAUUUUUUUUGUUUUUAGAUUAUUUUUUAAAGAGACAAAUUUUUUGUCUUGUGAAAUUUUCUUUUAAAUGAUAAUGGUGUUACUUAAUAUAAUUUUUUUAUACUUAUAUAUAUAUAUAUAUAUGUGUGUGUACCCGUGUCUUAUGUUUUAGAAUUUAGUCGUUCGUGGUGUUGGUGUCAUGUUCAGUGUCGGUUUGUGCUUCAUAGAUUAUGUGGAUUACCAACUUGCAGUGUGUUGUCUAGCUAAGUUGAGUUUACCAAAAAGGAUUUUGUUUUAAAUUUUACUCUCUUUGACUAUUAUGUUUUGCUUUCACCUGCUCAAGCAAGAAUUUGAAGGUAUGUUUGAGUAAAAUACUAAAUAUUAUUGCAGAGGCCUGAGAUUUAAGCAUCCUGACAUCAUUCCCUCAUUGCUUUUUUAUUUUUUUCCUAGUCUAAACAAAGGUAAGCCACAAGGUAUUCAGUUGUAGUUAAUUUAGGCAUGGACAACAUUAUGGAAAAGUGUAUAUGUUCUCGUUUACUUUUCAAUUCCAACACAGUACACUUGUAUUUUUCUUUGCUUUUAUAGUAGAUUGGUUUAAUCUAUAUUUUAAUACUUUGUAGUCUAUACUUUGCUUUGAAAAUUGUGGUUUAUACUUUGACUGAGGAUAGUAGUUUGGCACUUUGUAGUUUGUAUUUUGCUCUGGUAAUUGUGAUUUAUUUUUAUACUAAGCAGUUUUUUUUGUAUACAUAUUCACAGAAGUUUGUGUUAGUUUUGUUCGUAAAUUUAAAACGGAUAAAUAUAAAACUUUGCAUCUAAUGUUUAAUUUUAUUUCCUUUCUAAAUGCUACUUUGUUCUGAAAAUUGUGGUUUAUUAAGAUAUUGAGUUUCUUUAUUUGGACUCAUUAAAACAGGAGUUGGUGAUAAUUUUGUUUCUAAUAUGAGAAAAGGUAACUGUAAAAGUUUUAUAUCUAAUGCUUUAUUUUAUUUUAUUAUAAGUGAUACAUUUUUUGUAUAUCAAUUUUUUAAGAUUUUAAGUGUUAAAUCUGCCAUAUGGCAGCAUCCUUUUGAUAAUUUUGUUCUACCACUCUCUUCUCUGCCUCUGCUUAUGUUUCUUCCCUUCCUUUUUUUUUAUAUAUAUAAUUCAUUGUAUAUUUGUAUCAAUUCUCUUUUAUCUUCCCUUUGCUUUUAUACCUGGUUUGUGUAAUCUUUGUUCUGAUAUUUUAUAAUCUAUAUUUAUGCUGAAAAUUGAAACCAUUUUCAUUUACUGAUACUCUUUAGUUUUCUUUGGACUCGUAUGAUUAGAAAUUUAUAUAAUUUUGUUCCUAAAUUCACGAAAGGUACAUCCAAUGUGUAUUUUUAUUUCAUUUUCUAAAUGUAAAUGCUAGUUUUUGCAUAUCAAAAUUCUUUAGAUUUCACGCGUUACAUUUGCCAUGCCAUCUAAUAAGAUAGUUUUGUUCUAACAUUCUCAUAUCUAGCUCUACCUAUGAUUCUUCUACUCCUGUUAUUCUUUACUGUUCCUUUAAUUAAUUAUUCCAAAGAUUUUUUUGGUGUAUACUAUAUAUAAAAUUUUCUAUAUACCUGUAUAUUAUGUGAAUUUUUCAACUUUUUUGUAUUCUUAAGAAAUAGCAUAUCUCAACCGUUUAUUUCUUUGUCUUGUCUUUUUAUUUUUUGUUUCUGCUUUAAGCCUUCAACAAUUGAGAUGGCGCUUGUGUUGUAAUUUUAAUUAUUAUUUCAAAAGAAUUUUCUUAAAAAAUAUUUAAUUAUAUGGAUAAGUUAUGGCAUUUAAAUUCAAAUUUUGAAAUUUAAAUUUUCAAUAAAAGUGGAAAUCAAGAGGCGGAUAAUGAUAAUUAUAGGCUCAUUAUUGGUGAUAAAAGAGUAAAAAAAGUUGGCCGAAGUUUUUUUUUUAAAAUGAUUUUAAAAGGAAAUGAGGCUAUUGACUUUAUUUUUGUUUUCUUCUUUUCUUUUCUUUGUUUUCUCUUUGCCUCUAUUAAGCCUUCUCCCUCUUUACUCCUAGGUCAAUCAUUUUUUUUGCGAGUUCUGUAACCUUAGUUCUGCUAAGAUGUUCUUGUUGUAUCCUGGGAGGUUUGUGUGGGAUAUCGCGGAUAAACCUUUUAGGUCAGUGACUGUCACGCUUCAGAAAGUUCAACCACGUUCGUGAUUUUUGACUUUAGCAACAACAAUCUAAAAGGUUUAUUUCAUGGUUGAAGCCGCGAAACCUGUCAACAAUGCCAACGCUUCCAACCUUAUGCGAUUGAUGACAGCCUUUGCUAAGCCAUUGCCUGACGUCUCAAAAAUUGAGGUCUUCACUGGAGAAAAUUUUCGUCGCUAGCAGGAGCCCGUUCAUACCUUGUUGGACAUGCAUGGAGUUGUCUUCGCUCUUUCCACUCCCAAACAUGAUGCCGCUGCUGAUAACAAUCAACUUCAACAAUGGGUUCAAGCCAAUAAGGUAUGUCGUCACACUUUGUUAAGUGCCUUGUCUAAUGAUCUUUUCGAUGUCUAUUGCUCCUACAAGGAAUCCAAAGAGAUAUGGGACUCUCUCAUACUCAAAUGCACUUUCGAGGACGUGGUUAGACAUAGAUUCAUCAUCGCCAACUACUACCACUGAACUAUGAACAAAGAAAAAAACAUCAAGGUACAAAUCAACAAAUACCACAAGCUGUUGGAAGACCUGAAGACUAAAAACAUCUCUUUACCUGACGAGUUCGUUUCUAAACUCUUGAUUGAAAAGUUGUUGGAGUCCUGGACAAACUAUAAACAACACUUAAAGCACAGGCAUAAACAAAUGUCACUGCCUAACCUUAUCACCCACAUUAUCAUUGAAGAUACAAAUAGAAAGAAAAGUGUUGCAACAAGGACCAAAGUAAUAUCUGCCAAGGCAAACACAGUACAAGACAAACCGUUUCAUAAGAGGUAUGCCAACAAAAUUGAUCAUAAUAACAAGAAUAAGUACAAAUAUAAUAACUCACGUGCUGCUCCUUCUAAUCCCAUCCCAUGUGCUCCUGCUUCUAAUCCUUCUUUCAAGAAAAAAAGAAGCUUGUUUUGUUUGUGGGAAGCAAGGACAUUUUGUUCCUUAGUGCAGGUACAAAGUUGUGAGAAAUGACAAUCCUCCUAAGCCUAGGGCUAACCUGGUUGAAGGAGAUGACAUUAUUGUUGCGAUCAUUUCUCAAGUGAAUGUUGUCACCAAUGUGAACAAAUGAGUGGUAGACUCUGGGGCUACCAGGCACAUUUGUGUUAAUAAGAGCAUGUUUACCUCCUACGCUGCUGUGGGGGAUGGAGAAGAACAAGUUUAUCUUGAUGAUUCGAGAACUACUCUGAUUCAAGGAAAGGGGAAAGUUAUUCUCAAGCUCACAUCUUGGAAAACACUAGCUUUGAAUGAUGUGCUACAUGUUCCCUCUAUCAGAGUUAACCUUGUUUCUGUAGCAUUUUUGGAAAAGGUUGGGGUAAAAGUACCCUUUGAGUUUGGUAAGAUAGUUAUGACCAAGAAUAAUGUAUUUGUGGGGAAGGGUUAUUGUGAUCAGGGUUAGUACUCAAUGUUUCUGAAGUGAUUAAUGAGAAUGCAUCUUUUUCUGCUUACAAAAUAUAAUUCCACAUAAGAAAAUAGGUUUAAGCCCUUAUGAGUUAUGGAAAGGAUAUGAACCAAACCUCAAAUAUCUGAGAGUGUGGGGGUGCCUAGCCAAAGUGAUGUUACCCGAUCCAAAGAAAAGGAAAAUAGGAUCUAAGACUUCUGAUUGUUUGUUUAUUGGUUAUGCUGAACAUAGUGUUGCCUAUAGAUUUCUAGUUCUUAAGAGUGAUAUGAUUGAGUGCGACACCAUCAUGGAGACUAAGAAUGGCAAAUUCUUUGAGGACGUUUUCCCUUUGAAGUCUAAGGCUAGUUCCAGUAUCGUUUCUAGUCUUGAACAACUAGUUGAAAUCUAUAGUGAACCUAUAAGCGAGGAUUUGAGGAGAAGUAAAAGACAUAUGACAAAAAAAAUCUUUUAGAGGUGACUUUUAUACAUAUCUUAUUAAGGAUGAUCCCUUUAGGUUUUCAGAAGCUAUUAGUUCUUCAGAUACAAAACUUUGGGAGCAAGCCAUUAGGAUUGAAAUUGACUUUAUUAAAAAGAAUAGUACAUGGACUUCAGCAGAUCUACCUGAAGGUGCAAAUCCUAUUGGAUGCAAAUGGAUCUUUAAGAGGAAGUAUAACCGUGAUGGAUCUAUAGAUAAGUACAAGACAAGGUUGGUUGCUAAAGGGUUUACUUAGAAACCUAACAGAUUUUUUUGAUACCUUUGCACCUGUUACAAGGAUUUCAUCCGUUAGGAUUUUGAUAGCCUUAGCUGCAAUCCAUAAGUUGGUGAUUCAUCAAAUGGAUGUUAAGACAACUUUCUUGAAUGAUGAGUUAGAGGAAGAAAUAUAUAUGACUCAACCUGAGGGGUGUGUGGUGGAUGGUCACGAGAACAAAAUGUGCAAACUUUUGAAAUCCCUAUAUGGUUUAAAACAAGCGCCUAAACAAUGACAUGAAAAAUUUAAUGAGACUUUACUUGUUGAUGGUUUUUCUACUAGUGAUGUUGAUAGAUGCGUGUAUACAAAAUCUGUGAAUGAUGAUCAUGUGUAUUAUAGGCUUGUAUGUGGAUGACAUGCUUAUUUUUGGUACAUGCAAUGAUAUAGUUUUUAAAACUAAAUCUUUCUUAGCAUCUAAAUUUGAUAUGAAAGAUAUGGGUGAAGCAAGUGUUAUUUUGGGAGUUAAAAUUAUAAGGAAGGGAGAUAGUAUACUACUAUCCCAAAAGUAUUAUGUUGAGAAACUUGUUAGGAAGUAUAAAUAUUAUGACUUUAAGUCAGUGAGUACCCCUUAUGAUGCUAACUCUCAAUUAAAGAAAAAUAAAGGAGAACUAAUUGCUCAAACUCAAUAUGCCAAAAUCAUUAGGAGCUUAUUGCAUUUGAUGAAAUUUUCUAGACCUGAUAUUGCAUAUGCGGUAGGCAGAUUGAGUAGAUAUACCCAUAGUCCUAAUCAGGACCAUUGGGAUGCACUUGUUAGACUCAUGAGAUAUCUGAGAGGUACCAUGGAUUAUGGUAUUGAAUACAGUGGAUUUCCCGUAGUACUUGAAGAGUAUAGCGGUGCUAACUGGAUCUCUGAUUCAGAUGAGACAAAAUCCGCUAGUGGUUAUGUGUUUACUCUUGGUGGUGGUGCGGUAGCUUGGAGUUCAGCUAGACAAACUAUUAUUGCUAGAUCAACAAUGAAGUUAGAGUUUGUUGUUCUAGAAAUGACUAGUAGUGAGGCUAAGUGGUUGAAAAACUUCUUAACUAACAUUCCUUUGGGAAUGAAACUUACCCCAUCAAUAUCUAUGCAUUGUGAUUCCCAGUUAGUGAUAGCUGUGACUAAGAAUAAAACACUCAAUGGGAAAAAUAGACAUACAACUGAGACUUAAUGUGGUUAAGUAGCUGCUAAAAGAUGGAACAAUUUCUAUAGAUUAUGUGAAGUCAGAAGGAAACUUAGCAAAUUCUUUGACAAAACCCUUAGGGAGGAAUAUGAUAUUAGAAACUUCGAGGGAAAUGGGACUUAAGCCACUUGAAAACAAACAAGUGAUGGUAACCCAACCUUUGUGAUUAGAGAUCCCAUGAAGAAGGUUCAUAUGGGUAAAAACAAGUCACUUGUUAGUUCUGCUAACACUCAAAUUGAUUUCUAUCAAUUUGCUUUAGUCCUUUCCUAUGGUGUGAGAAAGUGUUAGAGCUGCAUUAAUGAGAGGAUAAACUUUAUAGUAAACUUUACAUGUGUUGAGAAAGUUUUACAUCUUAUAAAGUUUUUAAUGAUGUUCAUAUCUUUUAUGGGUGAUGUAUGAUUUACAACAUGCACUUGAUGAAAUCACCUAUAUGAGUGUCGAGUGGGGCCGCUUGCAUGAGAUCUUGGCGAGAUCUCUAGAGCACUCAUGAAUAUCGAGCAUACGCAUGGCCUAGUAGCGCAACACAACAAUAACAACAAAGAUUGUGGGGGUGUCUUGUGAUUGGUAAACUGCUAUCACAUGCCUAGUGUUUUUGGUUCAUAUAGCUUGCUACACCAACUAUAAUGUGUGUUAAGUCCUAUUAGGUCUGAUUCAUAUAGUUUGCUAUACCAGGUCUGAUGCAUUAUACCACAUGUUGACCCAUGAAUUUUCUUUUAUUUAUUAAAUAAUUUAUUCUUUUGAAAUAUGUGGGGGAUUCUUGUAAUUUUAAUAAUUAUUUUAAAAGAAUUUUCUUUAAAAUAUUUAAUUAUAUGGACAAGUUAUGACAUUUAAAUUCAAAUUUCCUAUUAAUGCCGAUAAAAGUGGAAAUCAGGAGGGGGACAAUGACAAUUAUAGGCUUUGGUGAUAAAAGAGAAAAAAAAAGUUAGCUGAAGUUUUUUUUUAAAUGAUUUUAAAAGGAAAUGAGACCAUUGACUUUGUUUUUAUUUUUUCUUCUUUGUUUCUUCUUUGCUUCUUUUUAUUCUUUUUAUUUUCUCUUUGCCUUAUUAAGCCUUCUCCCUCUUUACUCCUGGAUCAAUAAUUUUUCUUUACAAGUUCUAUAACCUUAGUUUUGCUAAAACGUUUCUGUUAUAUCCUGGGAGGUUUGCAUGUGACACCGCUGAUAAACCUCGUUCGUGAUUUUUGACUUCAAUAACAACAACUUGCAGAUGUGAGGGGAGUUAUAAGGAUAUUUGUAUUUUUUUUUUUUGGGGGGGGGGGGUGUUAAUAUGUUAGAGGAGCAACAUACAAGCUUGCAUUUUGUAAUCAAUAUUUUGUCUCCCCUUUCUUUAGUUUCAGUUUUCUCCAAUGAUUGGUGUCAAGAUAUACUUAAAAAACUCUAAAUAAAAAGACCAAAAAAGUCUUUAAGAAACAUAUAUUUGAAUAAACAAAUUUUUGUUUCUCUUUUUCCUGUUCUUGCUUUUCCUCAUAAAUAAUUAGCAUGGCCAUGAAUAGUUUCUUAAUGAAAUUAGUGAGAUAUAUUUGUAAGUGAUCACCUCCAUCGUUGUCUAAAAAAUGUACUACUAAAUUUAUCCUCGGAAUGAGUGGUACAUCAUGAAGGUGUUGUGAUGUUUUCUAAUUGUGAUUGAUUUCAUUGGAGGGUGGGCGGUGAUUUUAUGUUAGUGAUGCCUAUUGUUCUGAUCAUGCUCAAUAACAUAUCAAGGUAGUGAGGAUUUUGAUUUGCUAUAUGAGUCCCUUGGCAGUUGGGGGUGGCUUUGCUGAAUAUAUACUGGUGUAGUCAUGAAUCAUGUAUGAGUGUGCUUGGUAAUUAAAUGGUUGCUGGGGAUUCUAUGCUUGCAGAUAAGGAUUACGGAUAAGUGGUUUUUACGGGAUGGGUACAUUAGCUUCCGUUAUGCUGAUUCAGUUGGAAGUGUAUCAUAAGCUUUUGGAAAUUUAUUGAUGGAACAGGAUGCGGUGCUGCAAUGCAGAAAGUGUGUUGCUUUAUAGGAGUCAAAGGAAUCACAAAGUGAGUUUGUUGGAUAUUUGGGCUGCCAUUCCUUUUUAACAAAUGAUAGCAGCUCCAUGGUGAAGUAUAAGGUUUCUACACUGAAACUUUGGAAAGCAUGGUUGGGUAGGUGUCAGAUAACAUGAAAAUUGAAACCUUCACAUGAUAGAUAGUAGUGUAAAGCUAGAUAUUGUGGUCUAGAAAUGCUUUAAUUAGCUAUUGUUUCUAUAUUGCUGGUUUGUUUUGGAAGUUGGCAUAAAUCAAUGAUGCAUAGAUCUGUCAGUUGGUGUUCCACGGUUAUAUAUGGUUUAUUAUUGUUCUUGGAGUCUAUGAGGGAUGCAGGGGAAACGAGUCACUGUCAUUGUCUCUUGUAAUUUUAUUUUUAUUGUCCCUUGAAUUUAUAUUUUGACUUGAUAUCUUACUCCCUCAACAUUGAAGUAUGGCUUUUUGUUUCACUUUUCUUUGGUGUGUUAACUUUAUUGGAG
rnacentral:lncRNA from 1 species